rnacentral:rRNA from 1 species
CGCGUAGGCGGUUCCGUAAGCAGCGUGUGAAAUCCCUCGGCUCAACCGUGGAAUUGCACGCUGGACUGCGGUUCUAGAGGACGGGAGGGGGUGCGGAACUCUAGGUGUAGCGGUGAAAUGCGUAGAUAUCUAGAGGAACACCGGUGGCGAAAGCGACACCCUGGCCCGUAACUGACGCUGAGGCGCGAAAGCGUGGGUAGCAAACA